ACCUUUUGUUGCUACUGAAAUGUUGAUGAAUGAGGAUAUCUGUUAUCAACUUUACAAUUAUACAUGAAUAAAAACGAUAACUAUGGUGACAAAACAGCACAAUGUUUGGACUGAAUCAUAAUGAAUAAAACAAAAAGUGUAUAUAAGCUAAGUCAACCAGAAGGACUUUGAACACAGUUAUUGAAUUAAUUUCCUUGGAGACUCUAAUAGUAAUUGUUGAGACUUGGAACCAGACAGAAUGAAACUGUGAGAAAGUUUACAUAUUUAUACAUGUACAGUGUACAUGUAGCUUCAAUAUGAAUCAAUUGAUACACCAUCACAAUUAUGUCAUCCUAAUCAUUGGAAGUUUACCAAGUUAUAUGAGACGCAUUGAAAGCCUGUAGAGAUUCUACAUGUAUACAUAAAUGGAAUAGACUCGAGCUCACACUUACAAAUAACAAGACUAAUGCACUCUCAAACAAGGAUUAUUCACGUUUCAAUAAGUGAAUUGAAGUGCAUAUAGCUGCGCAUGGAAAUUUUUGUGCAUUUUUAAAUAUUUAUUUUCAUUUUAUUAAAUUUUUUUCUUCAAAAAAUUGCAUGUCUU